rnacentral:lncRNA from 13 species
UGGUCCUCCUUGUAAGGGUUAUUGCCGAGUUUAGAAUGAGAAUACUGAGACCAGAAUAUGAAAAUUAAAUGCCAAUUUACUCAACUGCCAGACGAGGUUCCACGACCCCGGGGAAAGGUGCCAGGGAAGUCGCGCUCCAGGAGGCGUGGGGUUUUAUAACGAGGGCGUCCUGAUUGGCUAUGAGGGAACAGGACGUGGAUGGGGCGAGCUGCCAUUGGUAGGUAGGCGGGAUUUCCGGUGAGCGAGCUGCCAGCGGAAGCGGGGGCGUGGACGGGACAAACUGCUAUUGGGCAGGUUUUGGCGGGGCUUCUUUUAAAGUUUGGCGGGCUUUUUCAAUGGUGGGCUAGGUGCUGAGUGCAGAGCUUGGUGCCCGGCGCUGAGUGGUGACAUAGUCUCUAGGCGUGGAGAUGUAUGGGCGUGUCCAAACUCCCGGCGAGGUGACCAGCCUUACAUUCCUGCCUCAGCUUCCCAGAGUCCUGGGACUCAAUGCCAUGGUCUUGAUAAAGAGUGGAUAGAGAGGUACUAGUGCAGGCCAAGAAGUUAGGGAGCCCCCUGGCGCUGGUGCCUGAGGGCGCUCCCUCUGCACCUGGGUCCAAGGGGAUUUAAUGAACUUUAGCCUCCAAGAGCUUUCACAUAUGGGAACAUUUCCUCACGAAAAGAUCUCUGUGAAAGAUGCAUCUCACAAAUGGAGCAAUGCCCCUUCCACUUCCAGUUCGAUAAUCAGGAGCCUGCUAUUAACAGAAGAUAGCCAGAGAAGAAUGCCUUCUAGAACCCACCUCUUCCUUCUUUCUCCCCAGGAAGAGGAGCUGUAUGAAUGACCUACAAAAGGUAGGGAGGUUUAUGUUUUUAAGCAGCACUUAGGUAUUUUAAGAUUUCUCUUUAUAUUAAACUGUAGUAAGUAGCAAAGGGGAAGAAAAUUUAAAGCAGUCCAUUGGUCUCAGAGCUAAGUUUCAGUAUUUUUGGCAAAACAGUUAUAGAGCUUACAUUAAAUAAGAAUAUAUGUCAUGGUAUUGGGAUAACUAAAUAUCUACCUGCAGAAGAAUGAAAUUGCAUCCUUACCUCACACCAUAUGUAAAUAUCAACUUGAAUGGAUUAAAUAUUUCAACAUAAGAUCUGAAGUGAAACUACUAAAGGAAAACAUAGAGGAAAAACGAUAUGAUUUUUUUGGAUAUGACCCCAAAACCACCAGAAGCAAAUGAAACAAAGACACAUGGGAUUUCAUCGAAAUAUUAAUAAAAAGCAUCUUCACAGCA